rnacentral:rRNA from 1 species
AUUGAACGCUGGCGGCAGGCUUAACACAUGCAAGUCGAGCGGGGGGAGGUAGCUUGCUACCGGACCUAGCGGCGGACGGGUGAGUAAUGCUUAGGAAUCUGCCUAUUAGUGGGGGACAACAUCUCGAAAGGGAUGCUAAUACCGCAUACGUCCUACGGGAGAAAGCAGGGGAUCUUCGGACCUUGCGCUAAUAGAUGAGCCUAAGUCGGAUUAGCGAGUUGAUGGGGUAAAGGCCUACCAAGGCGACGAUCUGUAGCGGGUCUGAGAGGAUGAUCCGGCACACUGGGACUGGGAGACGGCCCAGACUCAUACGGGAGGCAGCAGUGGGGAAUAUUGGACAAUGGGGGGAACCCUGAUCCAGCCAUGCCGCGUGUGUGAAGAAGGCCUUAUGGUUGUGAAGCACUUUAAGCGAGGAGGAGGCUACUUUAGUUAAUACCUAGAGAUAGUGGACGUUACUCGCAGAAUAAGCACCGGCUAACUCUGUGCCAGCCGCCGCGGUAA